GACGAACGCUGGCGGCGUGCUUAACACAUGCAAGUCGAACGGAAAGGCCCUGCUUUUGUGGGGUGCUCGAGUGGCGAACGGGUGAGUAACACGUGAGUAACCUGCCCUUGACUUUGGGAUAACUUCAGGAAACUGGGGCUAAUACCGGAUAGGAGCUCCUGCUGCAUGGUGGGGGUUGGAAAGUUUCGGCGGUUGGGGAUGGACUCGCGGCUUAUCAGCUUGUUGGUGGGGUAGUGGCUUACCAAGGCUUUGACGGGUAGCCGGGCUGGGAGGGUAACCGGCUAAGUUGGGACUGGAAUACGGCCCAGACUCCUACGGGAGGCAGCAGUGGGGAAUAUUGCACAAUGGGCGGAAGCCUGAUGCGGCACCGCCGCGUGCGGGAUGACAGCCUUCGGUUUGUGAUCCGCUUUCGCCUGUGACGAGGCGUGAGUGACGGUAAUGGGUAAAGAAGCACCGGCUAACUACGUG
rnacentral:rRNA from 1 species